GGUCCUACGGGACGCAGCAGUGAGGAAUAUUGGUCAAUGGACGAAAGUCUGAACCAGCCAUGCCGCGUGCAGGAAGACGGCUCUAUGAGUUGUAAACUGCUUUUGUACAAGGGUAAACCUGAAUACGUGUAUUCAGCUGAAAGUACUGUACGAAUAAGGAUCGGCUAACUCCGUGCCAGCAGCCGCGGUAAUACGGAAGGUCCGGGCGUUAUCCGGAUUUAUUGGGUUUAAAGGGAGCGUAGGCGGGCCGUUAAGUCAGUUGUGAAAGUUCGGGGCUCAACCCCGGAAUUGCAGUUGAAACUGCC
rnacentral:rRNA from 1 species